rnacentral:rRNA from 1 species
UACGUAGGUGGCAAGCGUUGUCCGGAUUUAUUGGGCGUACAGGGCGCGCAGGCGGUUCGUUUAGUCCGAGGUGAAAUCUCCCGGCUCAACUGGGAGAGGUCUUCCGGAUACUGGCGGGCUUGAGGAGAGCAGAGGUGAGUGGAAUUCUGGGUGUGAGUGGGUGAAAUGCGUAGAUAUCCAGAGGAACACCAGUGGCGAAGGCGACUCACUGGGCUCCACCUGACGCUGAGGCGCGAAAGCGUGGGGAGCGAACCGG